rfam:Fulmarus glacialis contig103004, whole genome shotgun sequence.
UUAAUGGCUUUUUUCAAGGCCAUAAACUUAAGGGUAGGAAAAAUAU